UUUGGGUUCCACCCGAACCGUUUGGCCCUAAAGCCACUGGGGCUCUGCAGGGGAGGAAGCGGGGCAUUGCUGAGGAGCACCAGCAGGGAGCAGAGGGAGGAACCCAGCGCCCAGCAGCUCCAGCACCCGCGAGGUCACACCUGAGAGCCAGUGCCACAGCGUUGUCUGCAGGGUGCUUUGGGUUCCACAGGAGCUUUGGAGGGGAAUUCCCGUACUGCGUUUGCAGACUCCAGCUGCUGCGGGGCAGAUCAGGAAGGAGUCAACACUGGAGCCGUUCCACAAAGCAAAGCACGGCAGUGAAUGGAGCACAGAGCAGAGGCUUGGGCUGUGCCAGGUGUCACCAUCUCGGUGCAGCCAAGGGCGGCUGACAACUCCAUUCCAACACAGCAGGACCCCGCGUUCACAGCAGCGUUCCCGCAGCCUCCGUCAAUUCUCUGUGCCCGUUUUGGGGUGAAAUUUGGAAUGGCUUCAGCCCCUGAAAACGAGGAGAGGCUUUGGGGCUGGCCAAGUUGUCAAGGGGAGAGGAUAACCCGUGGUAAGUGUGUCUGGGGGCUGAAGGAGGACAGUUCGUGCCUCACUGCCAAUAAGCCCACGUGCUGUUUGUCUGUGGCUGAUUGUUCAUCACUCUAAUCUCCUUCUGCAACCACACCACCCACAAACUGAGGUGUGCUCACCUGUCACAGGUUUAAUUAAUCUCUUUUCACAUACUUUUAAGUGAACAAUUAUCUAAGAGGUGUCAGGGGGACAAACAGUGCACUCAGAGCUCAGCUGCCUUCAGCUGGAGCAGCUCCAGGGGCGUUUUGGGGUGACCUGGAUCGCUGUCAGCGUGUCUGGCUUCUGCUCAUCACUCGCAGCAUGAAAUGCAGGAGCACUCGUGUAAGAAGGAAAGAUGGUAUUCCACGUGGAAUCCUGGAAGAGUCGUGCAUGCACCAUGUCCCUUCUAACAGAACCCUGAUGCCCUGACCCCACCUCACCCCUGAGCUAACAGGAGCGUUUUCCAGCACAGCUUGAGGCCAGAUGAGGUGAGCUCCCUGUCCCUGCGCUGGAUCCCUAGAGAAGCGCAGCCUCUGACUCCAGCCAGGGGAAUGCCAAUGACCUCUUGAGCAGAAGAAACCCGAGAUCACCUCAUGUGGUGUUGACUUUAAGCAGAGUUUAUUGUGAGUCCCUAUUAUUCUGCCCUUCCAGGCAGAGAAUUGAGGUGGCAUUUGGAGUCAAGAAACAGCAAAACUGUAACUUCCAGAGCUCAAGCCCUCCCCAGCACUACGCGUCCUUCAUUUGAGAGAAGGUCACACUUCAUUUUGCUUUUAGGGCUUUGCGACUCAGAAUGAGGUGAGAGUUUGCGGAGAUAUGGGCACUGCAUUUACACAAGCAGCUUUUCUCUCCAGUUCCCCUCUUUCCUGCCCCCAGCAAUCAAUCACCAGCUUUACAGCCCGCCUGCUGGGUGUGCCUCUCGGGGCCUUCAUGAUUGCGCUGACUCUGAGCACCUGCCCUACAAGUUAGCAGGUGAAAAGUGCUUCUACCAUGCAGCUGCCAUGGCAAGGAGGAUGCAAACACAUUAAUGAAUGAGCUCAGAUCCGAUCUUGCCACUCCCAGGAAUAAAUGUAAAGUGGGAAAAGGUGAGUUCAUGACCUCCUUGACAUUCACACAGAAAGUGCCACUUCAAACCCUCAGCCAGCGUGAAUUCUGGGGAAUGUCACACGAGUAAUGACGUAUUCUAGGUACAUCUGCUUUUCUUCCCAUCAUCAGAAGGAAACAGACCACAGUGAGCUGCCUGCAACGGCGCUUCAGGCCCCAUUUUGCUUUGUCCCUAUCUCAUAUUUCUUUUAUUCCUGCCUUUUUUUUUU